GGCCCAUCAAUACUUAUCUUUCUUGUGCUAAAACAAGCAUACAUGCCCUCCACCUUCUUUUCAAACCUCUUAAAUAUUUCAUUUGUGUACAAUUUUGAGAGUUGUAGCUCAAAAUAACAUCUUGAUUUUAGCAUUAAACUUGAAUUCCUUGAAUCCACAUCUGCUAAGGCUUCAAGUUGAUGAUUCGUCUGUAGUGCUUGAUCAUACUUGUCCAGAAAUUCUUUUAAAGGAGUAUGUUUAUCC
rnacentral:misc_RNA from 1 species